rnacentral:rRNA from 1 species
CAGUGCCACGGUAAUACAGAGGAUGCAAACGUUAUCCGGAAUGAUUGGGCGUAAAGCGUCUGUAGGUGGCUUUUCGAGUCCGCCGUCAAAUGCCAGGGCUCAACCCUGGAUAGGCGGUGGAAACUACCAAGCUGGAGUACGGUAGAGGGGGGUGGAAUUCCUGGUGUAGCAGUGAAAUGCGUAGAGAUCAGGAGGAACACCGAUGGCGAAGGCAGCCCCCUGGGCCUGUACUGACGCUCAUGCACGAAAGCGUGGGGAGCAAACAGGAUUAGAUACCCCUGUAGUCCCUGUCUCUUAUACC